AUAAGCCGGAGAAAUCCGGUCUAAUACCCCGUACGCUCCCUUUACUGCGGUAUAGGGAGGAAAGGUUCCGGCGCUCUGGAAGUAGCUGCGGCCUAUCAGGUAGUUGGUGGGGUAACAGCCUACCAAGCCGAAGACGGGUAACCGGUGUGAGAGCACGAUCGGUCAGAGGGGGAUUGAGACACGGCCCCCACUCCUACGGGAGGCAGCAGCAGGGAAUCUUGCGCAAUGGGCGAAAGCCUGACGCAGCAACGCCGCGUGGGUGAUGAAGGCCUUCGGGUUGUAAAUCCCUUUUGCCGGGGAAGAACUUUGACGGUACCCGGCGAAUAAGCCACGGCUAACUACGUGCCAGCAGCCGCGGUAAGACGUAGGUGGCGAGCGUUAUCCGGAUUUACUGGGCGUAAAGCGUACGUAGGCGGCGCCAUAAGUCUGUCGUGAAAUCUCCCGGCUCAACCGGGAGCGGCCGAUGGAAACUGUGACGCUGGAGGGGCGUAGAGGCAAGCGGAAUUCCCGGAGUAGUGGUGGAAUGCGUAGAUACCGGGAGGAACACCAGUGGCGCAAGCGGCUUGCCAGACGCAUCCUGACGUUGAGGCGCGAGAGCAUGGGGAGCGAACGGGAUUAGAUACCCUGGUAGUC
rnacentral:rRNA from 1 species